rnacentral:rRNA from 1 species
UACAGAGGGUGCGAGCGUUAAUCGGAAUUACUGGGCGUAAAGCGCGCGUAGGCGGCUUUGCAAGCCGGAUGUGAAAUCCCCGGGCUUAACCUGGGAACUGCAUUCGGGACUGCAUUGCUAGAGUAUGGGAGAGGGAAGUGGAAUUUCAGGUGUAGCGGUGAAAUGCGUAGAUAUCUGGAGGAACACCGGUGGCGAAGGCGGCAUCCUGGACCAACACUGACACUGAAAAGCGAAAGCCAGGGGAGCAAACGGG